ACGCUCGACACCUACGGGAGGCUGCAGUGGGGGAUAUUGCACAAUGGAGGAAACUCUGAUGCAGCGACGCCGCGUGAGGGAAGAAGGUUUUCGGAUUGUAAACCUCUGUCUUCGGUGACGAAAAUGACGGUAGCCGAGGAGGAAGCCACGGCUAACUACGUGCCCGCAGCCGCGGUAAUCUGAGCGGGCUGGCAAGGC
rnacentral:rRNA from 1 species